AAAAACGAGAGUUUGAUCCUGGCUCAGGACGAACGCUGGCGGCGUGCCUAAUACAUGCAAGUCGAGCGAGCUGAACCAACAGAUUCACUUCGGUGAUGACGUUGGGAACGCGAGCGGCGGAUGGGUGAGUAACACGUGGGGAACCUGCCCCAUAGUCUGGGAUACCACUUGGAAACAGGUGCUAAUACCGGAUAAGAAAGCAGAUCGCAUGAUCAGCUUAUAAAAGGCGGCGUAAGCUGUCGCUAUGGGAUGGCCCCGCGGUGCAUUAGCUAGUUGGUAGGGUAACGGCCUACCAAGGCAAUGAUGCAUAGCCGAGUUGAGAGACUGAUCGGCCACAUUGGGACUGAGACACGGCCCAAACUCCUACGGGAGGCAGCAGUAGGGAAUCUUCCACAAUGGACGAAAGUCUGAUGGAGCAACGCCGCGUGAGUGAAGAAGGUUUUCGGAUCGUAAAGCUCUGUUGUUGGUGAAGAAGGAUAGAGGUAGUAACUGGCCUUUAUUUGACGGUAAUCAACCAGAAAGUCACGGCUAACUACGUGCCAGCAGCCGCGGUAAUACGUAGGUGGCAAGCGUUGUCCGGAUUUAUUGGGCGUAAAGCGAGCGCAGGCGGAAGAAUAAGUCUGAUGUGAAAGCCCUCGGCUUAACCGAGGAACUGCAUCGGAAACUGUUUUUCUUGAGUGCAGAAGAGGAGAGUGGAACUCCAUGUGUAGCGGUGGAAUGCGUAGAUAUAUGGAAGAACACCAGUGGCGAAGGCGGCUCUCUGGUCUGCAACUGACGCUGAGGCUCGAAAGCAUGGGUAGCGAACAGGAUUAGAUACCCUGGUAGUCCAUGCCGUAAACGAUGAGUGCUAAGUGUUGGGAGGUUUCCGCCUCUCAGUGCUGCAGCUAACGCAUUAAGCACUCCGCCUGGGGAGUACGACCGCAAGGUUGAAACUCAAAGGAAUUGACGGGGGCCCGCACAAGCGGUGGAGCAUGUGGUU
rnacentral:rRNA from 1 species